rnacentral:rRNA from 1 species
UGGGGAAUAUUGGACAAUGGGCGCAAGCCUGAUCCAGCCAUGCCGCGUGAGUGAUGAAGGCCCUAGGGUUGUAAAGCUCUUUUGUGCGGGAAGAUAAUGACGGUACCGCAAGAAUAAGCCCCGGCUAACUUCGUGCCAGCAGCCGCGGUAAUACGAAGGGGGCUAGCGUUGCUCGGAAUCACUGGGCGUAAAGGGUGCGUAGGCGGGUCUUUAAGUCAGGGGUGAAAUCCUGGAACUCAACUCCAGAACUGCCUUUGAUACUGAGGAUCUGGAGUUAGGGAGAGGUGAGUGGAACUGCGAGUGUAGAGGUGAAAUUCGAAGAUAUUCGCAGGAACACCUGUGACGAAGGCGGCUCACUGGCCCGAUACUGACGC